UGUAAUUGAGAAUGGUGCUAGUGGUUGCUUCGUCCUCCAUCGAGUACAAGUCUUGUGCUACCCCUUCACAUGGUCUUGUAUGUGUUAUUAUCUAGCAUGCUCAUUGCUGCAGGUUUUGAGCGGGUAGACUGCUAAUUAAGAAAUGGCAUGCUCAUUAUAGGGCAGUUACUUGCCUGGUAUUCUCUGAAGAUGACUCCCUUUUAAUUUCCGGUUCUGAAGAUGGCUGUGUUAGAAUUUGGCCUCUUAUAACGGUAUUUGAUGACGGCUGGCAAAGGGAAGCAAAACAUUUAUAUGAACAUAGUUUCACCCAGCACAAUCUGCCUAUUACUGAUAUUGUUGUUGUAGGUUUUGGAGGAGGAUCCAAUGCUAUUAUAAUCUUUUCCUCCGUGGAUCAGACUUGUAAGCAACAGGGUUCUGCUGCCACAGGAGUGGAGUUGGAAAGACUAAAGCGCGAUUAUGGAAAAUCCAUGAAAAUGCUAAGCACUGGAGAAAAAUGUACGACAAUUUACAUCAAUUUUGUGUAAACGAGCUUCUGGAUGUCGAUCAAACGUUAAAUAUUGAUGGCAAUUCCACGUGAGCAUUGCUAUUAUUUCGCACGAUCAGGGUAGUGUCAGUGCAGCAAAAUACACGGCAAGCUUUAAGUUUCUCCAUCUGCUAUUCUAUUUUAUUUUUGGAAUUUUGUUUUGUCUCAUCUCGUGUGGUAGAAAUUGUAAAGUUAUAUGUACGUACCCUGUCACCAAAGUCAGAACAGUAUCAACAAACAGUAUUCGACAGAAUUAGGAGGCCAUUGUUGAUCGAUUUAAUUUGCAGAGCCUUUUUUGUGGGAUUAGAUGUGUACAUGGUGGUACAUUGCGGGUACCCUGAAUUUAUAAGAAUUUUGUUUGGUCAUGUGGUGUUUGAUACUGCUUGGAUGUACUAGAGGUGUUGAUUUUGGGGCAACCAUUUUACAUCAUUUGCGAGCUCCAAAAAACAGCCAAAUAUUUUCCCACUCCGGCGUAGAGAAAAGGAACAGAAAUGAGCCAACAGCCGAGAAAAGCGCAGCUUGUGGAGGCUGCCGUGUGCCAUUUGAAGAAGUGAGGUGCCCAAACAAAUCAAGUGGCAUAGACAUGGAGAUGCUCCUGAUAUCUCUGAUUUGGUUAUAAAUUUGUGGGUUUUUCUUAUUAUUUUAAUAUAUCACAUAAACAGGAACUAUUAAUGUGGUGAGUGGGGAAGAAAAGAUAAGGUGGUGUAAGCAUGCAGCGAAAGGAAAAGCUCAA